CGCGUAGGCGGUCUUGUCGGUCAGAUGUGAAAGCCCAGGGCUCAACCCUGGACGUGCAUUUGAAACAGCAAGACUUGAGUACGGGAGAGGAAAGCGGAAUUCCUGGUGUAGAGGUGAAAUUCGUAGAUAUCAGGAGGAACACCGAUGGCGAAGGCAGCUUUCUGGACCCAUACUGACGCUGAGGCGCGAAGGCGUGGGUAGCGAACAGGAUUAGAUACCCUGGUAGUCC
rnacentral:rRNA from 1 species